UACGUAGGGGGCAAGCGUUGUCCGGAUUUACUGGGCGUAAAGCGCGCGUAGGCGGAAGGUGAAGCGUGGCCUGAAAGCCCCCGGCUCAACCGGGGAGGGCGGCUGCGAACUCGCUUUCUUGAGGGCGAUAGAGGGGGGCGGAAUUCCUGGUGUAGCGGUGAAAUGCGUAGAUAUCAGGAGGAACACCUGUGGUGUAGACGGCUUUCUGGACCAUUGCUGACGCUGAGACACGAAAGCGUGGGUAGCAAACAGG
rnacentral:rRNA from 1 species